rnacentral:lncRNA from 1 species
CAGGUACCGACCUGCACAGUAUGAGCAGGGGGGAACAGGGACCCCCAGCAUGCAGGAACAGCCUGCCCGACCUGAAGGCUCCUGCGCCCUGUCCUGACGGCAAGAGGCGAUGGGGGAGAGAACGCUGCGAGCGCCACCAAACUGCACUGGGAGGUUUCAAGAAAGCCACGGGCAAGGCAGAGGUGAGAGAGGUGCCCAAGGGACAGCUAAAAAGCAAGCCUGUCCCUGGCAGGACACCGGCCCAGCCCACCGCUCUCGAGGGACCAGGCACCUCCCCAGAGAAACUCCUGUGCAGAAGGUGAAAGGUGGGAAAACGCAUCCCCAGCAAAGCCCAGCCGCCCUGCCCUGUCCCACUGGCACCCCCUGGAAGCCCCCAGGCUCUCAGCCAGGAGCAGCACAGCACCCAGCACAGCCCCGCCGGCCGCAUCCUGCACACGCCUGCAGCCCCAGCCCGGCCCCGGGGCUGUGCAAACCCCACGGGUGCAGCCUCCAAACCCGCGCGCCGUCAGCACCGGCACCGGAGCAGGGCCUGGAAAUUCCCCCGAGCCAGCCAGCGGCUCGAGCAGAUGGGUUUUACGAGGCCCGGAGGAAAACUCACGGCUCGAAGAGCAUCUCGAAGUGCCUGUAAACACGCACCAGAUGCUGCAGGGACAGCUGAAGCGGGGCAGAGAUAGGGAUGGGAAUGGAAAACUGCAAAUGGGGGGAGCGGGGGCAGCCUCCCCUCCUCCUACCUGCAACAGCUCGUGGCUUCUAACCUUGUGUUUAUUCAAACCAAAGCAAACAGUAUUGACCACACGCUGCCCCCGAGCCUUCUGCAUCCCCGUUGGACUCCGCUCCUGCUUUUUCCAAGCAGAAGGAUGAAGAGCCUCCCGGAUGGGGCAGGAGAGUGUCAUUUGGGAAAAUAAGCACAGGGGGCUGCUGCCAGCUCCGGGCUGGACCUACAGAUCCGGCCACCAGCAGAAAGCUGCCCCAGGGCACGCAGCAGAUCUGUAGGGAGGUGCUCGGGUGGGGGCCGGGGCGGCUGG